rfam:Populus trichocarpa scaffold_12_contig_142, whole genome shotgun sequence.
UCUAGAACUCAAGAUAUGAGCUAAACACUAAAUAGUGUCUGAGCUGCAGGACAAAUUCUGACUUCUCCGUUGUUGCUACCAUUUGAACUUGAAAAUGACACUUUUAAAUCUUGGACUCUGCAUGAAAGUUUUAGGCCUAUCUCUUAGCUUUCCAUA